rnacentral:rRNA from 1 species
UACAGAGGUCUCAAGCGUUGUUCGGAUUCAUUGGGCGUAAAGGGUGCGUAGGCGGCAGCGCAAGUCAGGUGUGAAAUCCCGGGGCUCAACCCCGGAACUGCACUUGAUACUGCGUUGCUAGAGUACUGGAGAGGAGACUGGAAUCUACGGUGUAGCAGUGAAAUGCGUAGAUAUCGUAAGGAAGACCAGUGGCGAAGGCGAGUCUCUGGACAGUUACUGACGCUGAGACACGAAGGCCAGGGGAGCAAACGGG